rnacentral:rRNA from 1 species
GUGCCAGCCGCCGCGGUAAUACCGGCAGCCCAAGUGAUGGCCGAUCUUAUUGGGCCUAAAGCGUCCGUAGCUGGCUGCGCAAGUCCGUCGGGAUAUCCACUCGCCCAACGAGUGGGCGUCCGACGGAAACUGCACAGCUUGGGACCGGAAGGCUCGAAGGGUACGUUCGGGGUAGGAGUGAAAUCCCGGAAUCCCGGACGGAAUACCGAUGGCGAAAGCACUCUGAGAAGACGGCUUCGACAGUGAGGGACGAAAGCCAGGGUCUCCAACCGGAUUAGAUACCCCAGUAGUUC